GAUUAAAAAGGUGGUGCAGUAUUCUAGUCAGGUAAGUAGUUUUGAGGACGGGGCUAAAAAUCCGUUGAAGGGCACAUCGAUGAAGUUCCUUGUGCUGGCCUGUAACGCCCAGUUGUGGGCUUGUGCUGGGAGUAAGGUUGUGGGGCAGCCGCAAAGGCAUGCGAAACUGACCCUACUACCGUGGAGACCAUUGUACGUGCUCUGGGAGAAAUACCCAAAGUACGGCAUUGGAUUAAACCUGCAUCGUGGUUAAUAAGCUAUGUGCAGAGUAGCCUGCCUUGAGUGAGGUGGGUAGAGGUGAGACCAAAUCUCAAUGUCCCGGCCAGGAUAUUGGGGCUAUUGCUCACUGAAACCCAUGUUGCAAAAGAGGAUAAGAAGCUACCUAACUGCCGAGGAAAUCUCCUAGACUGUUCCUGCGGAGGCAUAUUGGGGAUUGCAGUGUGGACUAAGUGGUAAUUCAGCCCUGUAGAUGGAAACACUACAGAUAGAGCAUUAAAGGGAAACCGUCACAACGGCGACGUAGUGGUUGCUUUAUGGGAAAUCCUGCUGGACCUAAGCCGCAAAUUUUACUUAAUAUGCUACCACCUUGUUAUCAUU
rnacentral:sRNA from 1 species